ensembl:lncRNA
AGAUCGGUUCUGCUGCCCCCAAUGGGAAGAGAAGAGGCUGUUGUGUUUCUACUCUGCAUAGAAGGCUCCAACUGGCACACAUAGGAAAGGGGAUUCGUGUUGGUCUGUUUGUGGGGUUCCUGCCUUGGCGAGUGUCUCCGGAAGUCAGAUGGGUCCUCAGGAGUUAGGAAACAUGCUGGGAAGUCCUUGCUGCUCUUCCCUUUGCCUACAGCAAGAGGGGCAGCUAUGCAAGCCCUAGUCUGUGUUGAGGAACAUUUGCCUACCUCGAGCCCUAACCACCAUAAAGACAGAGUCAUCUUUUUUCUACCCUCUCAAGCCACUUUUGUACCAGCUUAUGAGCCUCCUGUGCUCACCCUAGAGAGCCCUCUGGUAUGAGCAACCAACGUUUCCAUGCAUUCUUGGUGCAUGUAUGGCCUCCAGUCUUAGCCUUUAAAGCAAAUGUUGGACUUAGGGAUCCAUUCCAACAAUUCCUGAUGACUACAACAGCCCCCAGAGAUAGCAUGGCAGGACCCAACGUUGUGCAGAACUUUGAACAAAUCAUGCACUCACCCACUGAUAUCUGAAUUGCUUGGCUUUUUAUAUACUUUACAAGAACAAUGCAGUUUCUUUGGCUGCUCUUUCCUUAGUUGCAGUCCACAUGGAAUGUUCUGGUAUCUCUGUGGCUGGAAGUGACUACAUUGACUAUGGAGCACCAUAGGAUUUGCUUAUCACUCUUCUUAACAGCUUACUAUGUGAUUCAUUGUGCUGUAAUCUGUGAGUACACUGCAGGGGAAGGGGCGCAAUGGAAGUAUGCUCACUGUGCAACAAUGCCUUCCACAAAUCCAGCUUCACCAAAUGGGGAAUGAAUCAACUUUGGCCCAAUGCAAAGAAAAUAAUUCUGAAAUCAACUCCUAAGAUGGAAUUCCUGUAGACUCAUGGCCCGAAGACAGAGGGGCAUCUUUCUGACAGCCACACGGGAUGGGUUUCUACAAAGAGCCUCUCAAGAGCUUGGAGAAGGAGUAGACACAAAUACAGCCUAAAUACAGGAACUGGUAUAGGAGAACAGAAAAUGCCAUUGUAAAAUAAGACCAAAAAAGCCCAAAAAACCAAAAAUGGUCCCUACAUUCAGCCCCCGUUCCACCACUGGAGACCAG